rnacentral:rRNA from 1 species
GACAGAGGGUGCAACCGUUGUUCGGAAUUACUGGGCGUAAAGGGCUCGUAGGUGGCCAACUAAGUCAGACGUGAAAUCCCUCAGCUUAACUGGGGAACUGCGUCUGAUACUGGAUGGCUUGAAAUUGGGAGAGGGAUGCGGAAUUCCAGGUGUAGCGGUGAAAUGCGUAGAUAUCAGGAGGAACACCGGUGGCGAAGGCGGUUCUCUGGGCAUUACCUGACGCUGAGGAGCGAAAGUGUGGGGAGCGAACAGG